rnacentral:rRNA from 1 species
GAGGAGAAGGAAGAGGAGCGGGGGAUGGCGGGCUGCGGUGAAGCCAAGACAUCAUCGGUUUCCAUGGAUGAAGAGGCGUGCGGCAUAGAGAAGAAGUUUGGCGGGAUGGCGCCCAAGAAGCCUCUCAUAUCAAAGGACCAUGAGCGUGCCUACUUCGACUCCGCAGAUUGGGUCCUUGGCAAGCAAGCUGCAAACAGCAGCUCAACGGCUGCGGUCGAAUCGCUCAAGCCCAAGCUCAAGAGAACUCCUCAUCCCCAGCUUCCCCCUCGCAAGCCCACCUGUGCGUCUGGCUGA